ACGACUGUAUCACGUUGAAACACAGGUUCUCGUACGAUCACCGAAAAUAAGCAACGUCUAGCUCGAUCAGUACCUAGAUGGGUGACCGCUUGGUAAUACCAGGUGUUGUAAG